CUGUGGAAACCAACUAGCCAACGUUCUAAACGACUAAUCCAUUAGCCUAUCAUUUAACAAUAAAAUUGAUUCCAAAAGCGUUGGUCGUUUAGUUCCUUGAAGAGGAAACACUUAGGACUGUCUAAUGUCACGUGGGAUAGGGUAUGUAACAAAUAAAUACAGCGGCUUGGAUGGCUGGACGACUGCGUUAAAAUCCCCAUUGAUUCCAACCGGUCAACAAGGAAUUCCCCGAUUGAACUCCAUCGUUAGAAAAUGAAACUGCUGUACGUAUUUGCCAUUGCAAUAAUCUGCAUAUCAGUUGUUACAGCAUUGCGCUGUCGAUCGUGCUUUAGUGACAAGUCAUGGAGACACUGUAACAGUGUUAGCACUAAUACGAGGUGCCCAACCAAGACAUUAAAAUGUGUGCGCGUUCGUAUACGCAUCGAGGAAGCUGGGAAUCAAACCACACGAUACUUCCUGAAGGGAUGCGCCAAAACCUGCAGCGCUAAUAAUGUGGCCUAUUGCCGUAAGGGACGGGACUUCCUUAAUAACAAGGUCUCCUGCAACGUACGAUGCUGCAAGAAGAACCUAUGUAAUUAGAAGUAGGACUAUAUGGUCAAUGGAGAAAAUAAGGGGGUGCAAUGUGCAGAAGAGCAGUGUUCUGUUGUCUCUUGAGAAAAAAAAUGCAUUUCCUUUAUUCAAUAAAGAAGAUAUGUUAGGUUAAAGAGUACUCCAACCAUGAACUUUCUUGUUUCCAUUUUUUAAACCAGAUUUUUAGUUGCGAAGGUUUCGUAUUUUCCCAAGAUUACUAAUAACAGGCAGACCCUGAAUGAAGGAAAUACCUUUUGCUUUUCAGGAAAAAUUCCAUCGAGAGGGAUGAAUUCAGUUUGUUAAUUAUUUUUGUGUGCCAUGUAAUUUAGGUAAAAAUGGAGUGUUUGCCACCACUUAUUAAUUUUAUAGCCCAAUAUUUGUUUCGUUCUUGCUAGAUGUUUUAAAACAACAUUCUCGAGUGAGUUUUACUCGUGUAGUGAGUGUUACACCGUUUCAACUAAAGCAGUUUUGAAAACUGUUUCAAAUUUGAAUUUUACAAAAAUGAGAACAGUAAGCUCUCAAAUUCCAGGGCUUUUGGAUAUAUUAUGUAAAUUAGAAUAAUAAAUAUCACGUUUAAAUCGCACGUGUUGUCUAAAUGGUUCCGAUCAAUGUGUACAAGGGCAAAUUAAAAGCCAUUGUUUUUGUGUUUUAUUUUCGGAGAAUUCAAAUAAUAAUUUACGAAUUAAACAACCAAGUAGUUGCAA